rnacentral:rRNA from 1 species
UACGGAGGGUGCAAGCGUUGUCCGGAAUCACUGGGCGUAAAGGGCGCGUAGGCGGGCUGUCAAGUCUGGGGUGAAAUCCCGCGGCUCAACCGUGGAACUGCCUCAGAUACUGACGGUCUCGAGGGGGAUAGGGGCGAGCGGAACUGUGAGUGGAGCGGUGAAAUGCGUUGAUAUUCACAGGAACUCCGGUGGCGAAGGCGGCUCGCUGGAUCUCUUCUGACGCUGAGGCGCGAAAGCUAGGGGAGCAAACGGG